CCUGACUUCAGGUGAUCUGCCCGCCUUGGCCUCCCAAAGUGCAAAGAUUACAGGCGUGAGCCACUGCUCCUCGCCACUGAUGCUUAUUUUUUUAAGGCAGUAAUAAUACAUGAGGAAGUGAAAAUAUGAGGAAGUACAAUCUCAUGUUCAUUCCCUGCCUCUGUUACCGACAUCCUGUCCAUUUUCUAAUUCCAAUCACUGCCUGCCUCUCCGCCCUCACGUUUUGGGGGAUGGACACAGUUGCAGGGGAAAUGGAAGACAUUACUGAUCAUGGACAUCGAGGGUGGAGAGAGAAAUUUGGGCAUCAAACUAACCCUGAGAAAUGUACCAGUGAGGUUGAAAACAUUUGUAAACCAUUGCCCAGGAAAAGCAGUCACUGAGACCAGCAUUGUGGAUGAUUAAUAUCUUUUAAAAACAUUUUGUAAUUCCCUCAACAAAGUUCUUGCAAACUGUGGUAGAGGCUGUUAGUGCUCUCCAAUAUCCAUGCUUUCUGCCCACUCCUUGGAAUCCAGCUAGACUGGUUAAUAGUGGUCUAGCUAUAGUGGUCAGCAUCCCUUAUGAUUGGGUGCAACCAUGAGACUGAGUUCUGGCCAAUGGAUUGUGGCAGCAGUGAUGUGUUCCAGACUUUCCCUCAUAAAACGUCCUCAUGCUUGACGUGUGCUCUCUCUUUUCCUAGCUACCCGCUGAGUGCAGAUAACUUUGAGUACCUAGAGAAGGGUGGAGCUACAAGAUGGAACGAGCCUGGGACCCUGAAUGGCUAUGUGUAGCAGAGCCUCUCUGCUGACCUGGAACAUUAACCUCAGACUCUUUUGGUGAUGAGGAUUAUACGAACCAUAUUCUUCCCUUCGUAGCAUACCAUCUGCAUUGAUCUAAUCAAACCCAUUUUCUUUUCUUUAUUAAUUCAUUUACUACUUUAUUUGUUUCCUUUCUUCUCUAUUCUUUACUUCCAUCUCCUCCCCAAAGGCAACCUUCUAAUUUAUUUGAUGUGUAUGUUUGUUUGAGUUAUUUUAAAACUUACUUUAUUUUGUAUGCAUGGAUUUAGAUAGUAGUAUGGUGCUGUGGAUCUCAUUCUGACUUCUUUCCCCACUCAGUAAUAUUUUUUUAAAGAUCCAUCUAUGUCACUCUGUGUAUAUUGUCUGUAGUCUCACACUGUUGUAUAAUGUACCAUGGUGUUCAUCCACUCCAAUUUACUUCCUCAUUUUCCUGGAAAUAAAAUCUAUACUGCUUCCAA